rnacentral:rRNA from 1 species
UGAGGAAUAUUGGUCAAUGGGCGAGAGCCUGAACCAGCCAAGUAGCGUGCAGGAUGACGGCCCUAUGGGUUGUAAACUGCUUUUAUGCGGGGAUAAAGUGCGUGACGUGUCAUGCAUUGCAGGUACCACAUGAAUAAGGACCGGCUAAUUCCGUGCCAGCAGCCGCGGUAAUACGGAAGGUCCGGGCGUUAUCCGGAUUUAUUGGGUUUAAAGGGAGCGUAGGCUGUCUAUUAAGCGUGUUGUGAAAUAUACCGGCUCAACCGGUGGCUUGCAGCGCGAACUGGUCGACUUGAGUAUGCAGGAAGUAGGCGGAAUUCAUGGUGUAGCGGUGAAAUGCUUAGAUAUCAUGACGAACUCCGAUUGCGCAGGCAGCUUACUGUAGCAUAACUGACGCUGAUGCUCGAAAGUGCGGGUAUCAAACAGG